rnacentral:lncRNA from 1 species
CCCGAGAAGCACAUUGCACAGGGUUAAAAAAUUUAAGCCUCACAUUCCCAAGCAAUCUUAAGGAGGCCAACAGAAUUGAAAUCACUGAUGCAAAGUAUCAGCAGUUAGAAAUAUUUAUACACACAACUUCUUUAUUGUAGUCAUAUGAUGAUGAAAUCAGUACGUAAAUCAGCACCAAGGAUAGCCGAUCAGACAAACAAAAAUUCUGCAUCCCACUGAACAACACUAUUAUGCAGGACUCAUUUUAAAAGGCCCUCAGUUCUAAUUUCUAUAAGAGCUUGAAGCUUUGAAGCCAAGGCUACGAACCUUCUCUAUUGUGACUUCUAAAUGUACCUAUGAAAGUAAGGAUCAGGAACAUUCUCUAUUAAACCAACAAACUGAACAAUGAGAACUUGAAAUAUGUAAAAGUACUAAUGAAAGUAUUUAAUCUGUGCAUGUACAGUGGACAAAGAUUACAACACACGGCAUGUUGCAAACAUCCUAACCAGCGUACUUUUGAUGUAACAUGAGAACUUGAAAUGUGUUAAAUAGAGAGAAAAGGCUAAUGACCUGUCUACAAAUUAGAAGUGAAUUGAAUAUUUACUAUAAUGUAACAUGAGAACUUGAAAUAUGUUAAAUAGAGAGAAAGGGCUAAUAUCUGGUCUAAAGAACAGAACAAAUUUGAAUAUCAGUUUCGCCAACCCUGGAUGAUCCAACUCACUUGGUAUAAUCCACGAAAUUAGGGAGCAAAUAUAAGUAAUCCUUCAAGACGCUAGCAACAUCUUCAGGAUUCGACGGCAGGCAUGUAGUGGAGUACUCACAGAGGAAAUCGCUGCCGGAUAGGCCCUUGGCAUCGAACAGAAGACCGCACCUCGUUGCAUUCUUCUCCUGCCGUUGUAGCUCCCUCUCCUGUGUCCUCUCGAAAUUAAGGAAAGAGCAGUAAAGUAGUGAACAGAGGUAUCUAAGACGUAUAACUCAAAUAACAAUUUCUUUCGCCCAAACAAACUAAAAGAAUUUUAUGUUUGGUAGCAUAUAUCCAAGGGAACAGACAUGUUGUCUGUCUUAUUUCCUUGACACACAUAUACCGAACAAUAAAAUGGAUCACACCUUCUUUUAUACAUAUAGGCAAGCCAACCAUCCAAACGGUCUAUGUAUGUAACUAAAUCAAUAAUCUAAAACCAGCAAGCAACAUGCUUGAGGGAAACACAUGCUACUCUCACAAGCACGAUCUGGUUCACAGGAACUAGAUACAGAUUGUUUAAAUAAACAAAGGGAAACACAUUGUACUCUCCCAAGCAAAACCAGAAACCUGAAUAAAUGACCGGAGGCCAAGUUCACAUAUGCUCCAGCCAUGAUUUGCCCCCAAUUUUCUGCAACCAAAAUGGAAGUGUGUCAUUAAUUUAGCAGCGGGUACAAGCACAUACUUAACAAGGGACAAUCCUAACUUGGGAUUCAGAGGCAAGAAACAGUUCGAACAUGUGUGCGUGACUAAUUUAGUAGCUGGUACAACCACUUAACAGGGGACAAUUCUAACCUAGGUUUCAGAGGGAAAUGGUUAAAGAGGUAGUAGGAUUUAAGUCCUAAACAGUGUAGCAUGUAAAAUAUUAUGACAUCACUACAUAGACAGAGCUAUAUGCCUAUGCUAAGCUUCAGUCGACUUAUAAGUUCGUUAUCACUUAUAACUACAGAACAUGUCAAAAUCAUAAAUUAGAGUUAACUCUAUCUCUACCAUUAUGUUUUUCAUACAACUGUCAAAUUUUACCAAUCAUGUUUAUCGGAAAAAAUCAAAUAGUGAACAUUGAAAAACGGACCCAAUCAUGUUUAGAAGAAGUUAUGUACAUGCAACCUAGAGAAACAGUUUAUAAAGUACAUAAAUCCAAUACAAAUUACCUCAAGAGCAGCUUCCAACGAUUCAGAUGAGAGACUCAGUUCUGAUUGUAUAUCACCAACACUAACUUUUCCUUGGUCAAUUAGCUGCCAAGUAAAAGCAUAAAACCCACUUAACUAAUAACACCAAAACAUAUGUACAAAAAUCUUGCUCUGUAAGAUUAGCAGGUACCUUUCUAAGAAAUGUAGAAACAUCACCAGAAUUGCUCACAAGAUUCCCAGCCCAUGUAGGCUGAUCAACAACCAUAUUUGUGCAUUGAACUUGUUGAUUUUCCGUGCCUCUAACAUCACAUGUUGAGGUAACAAGCUCUGUUGUCUGUGCUUUGUUUAGGUUGGACAAACCUGAGCUCAUGGGUGUGAGGUUCAUGAAUUUGUCUUUACUCUUGCGCUUAGAUCUUAUUUGAGCAGAAUUUUCAUCAUCCAGCCCAACUCAUGUGGUAUCCUGUUCAGCAACACCAUUGACAAGGUGUAUGGAGCUAAUUCCUCUGACUCCAGAAUGCUUUGAGCAAAAUAUCCACAACUCAACCUACAAACAGAUAUAUACAAGAAAAAUAUUAGCAAGCAUAAACAACCAAGGUAAAUAACAUACACGAGAAGAAAUAGCCUACCAUUCUUAAGCCCAGAUUUUCCCAUAUCUCCACUUGAUGUUUUUUCUAUCUUGCGCAUAUAGGAUGAAAGCAAGCCCAGCAUGUCCCUGGAAAAAAUAAGCAGUUAGUAACCAAAAAGCAACAUAUAUCAACAAGGUUAAAGAAAGUGUUAGGUGACCUGGUGGCCAGAUCCAUCCCUUUGUGUUCACCAGCAGGGGAGUACAUGAGAGAAGAAGAGAUCUGGAAGAAGGGAUGGGUGGGGAGCAGUAGAGAGGAGACAAUACCAAAGAAAUGACGUCGCGCAUCCGCCGCGUGCCUUGUCCGGGCAGGAGGUCCGGCCCUGCCAUACCCCUCUUCUCCCCUUCACGUCCCACCUCUUAUCUCUCUCCCUCUCAUCUUCUCACCCCUCGCUCCUCUCCAGAUGCCCCCACACUCUCCUCCUCCUCCUCCUCCUCACCCGUCUCAUCAAGCGCAAAGGGCAAGAGUGAACCAAGGACUGAUAACUUGAUCGAGGAAGAAACUUCAUUUCCUUAAUAGCAUUUGGCAUAUUAGAAUAAAAAUGAAGUACCAUCAGGUUGAUCUCUAAUUUUCACUGAACUAACAAAAACACAUUUUACACUGCCCACGUACUACUAUUACUGUCCAUUUGGAGUAGAAUUUGUAAGUGAAUGUUUAUCUACUGCUGCACUCAAGUUAUCAUAUGCUUGAACUAAAACAUUCCUAUCUUCAACUAAAUAUAUCAUUGUGACCGAGCACACACAAUCCAAUAACUAAAAUACUACAGUUAUUUGGUUACAAAAAGAAACUUAAGUAUGGAAUCAACAGAAGAUAAAUAGUAUAACUGUUUCACAAACUAAUAUAGCUACAACUUGUUUUCUAGUAUAUCUUGCAGAGUCGCAUUCAUGACCAGAUACCACGUAAGUAAGCUCUAUAUUGUACUUGCCUUAACAGAGGUUGAGUGUUGCACGAUGAGUUUUGUAGCAUCCGCAUGAUCCUUGUUCAUGUGGCCCUGUGGAAUACACGCAGCUAACUUGAGCAUAAAUACGCCAAAUUAAGAUCAAUAAUGGCCAAUGCUACAGCAUCAGCUUGAUUAGCUGAAAUUAAUGAGAAUGAUAUACACACUACGCUGACUGAACUUUGUACACACUUAAGACAGCAAAACCAAUGCAUGGAGUUCUACAAUAAUUAUCUGUCCUUGUUAUCUCACAUCAGCUUGAUUAGCUGAAAUUAAUCAGAAUGAUAUACACACUACGCUGAUUGAACUUUGUACACACUUAAGACAGCAAAACCAAUGCAUGGAGUUCUACAAUAAUUAUCUCUCCUGCUUGUUAGCUCAGCAGUUUGUAGCUAGCAAAGCUCUAGUAUUCACAUGGAGUGUAAAACAAAUGGCUGGAAACAACAUUAACCUGGCUUUACCUAUGUUAGUAAAUAGAAGGAAACUCAAUUGGGAACCGACAUCAAGAUUUGAUUGUUCCAACAGGGAAUGACUGAACAUUUAUCCGGACAACAACAAAUCUGAUCUGUUGUUUAUAGUGUUCAAGUGCAGCGUCUGAUUUGGUGUGAUCGUCAGACAUAGCAACUGUGAGGAAAAAUGCAGAAAAGUUCAGGUAAUCCAACCCUAUGCUGUAAGGAACAGAUUGAGGAUUUAAUAACCAGCCAAUGCAGCAUCAAAUACGGUUACUGAUAAGUGGCAAGAAAACAGCAUGUAUAACAGUAUAUAUCGCAGCAGACAGAGGUGAUUAGCUUUCAAGGGGAUAAAUACCUUUGGUGUAGCCGCUGCAGGCGACACUGGACGGACCAAUGUUCUUGUUCCUCCGGCAAACUCUGUGGCGACAUUGGACGCUUCGUGCAAAUUUCGACGGAAUUUGAUGGAGAUUAUGGCCCAAGGACGCAAAUUGAUGGAGAUUCCGGCUGAGGACCCCUCCAUCUUAUAGCAGCCAAGUUAAAUCCGGGUCAGGCACUCAAUCAAUCUGUGUUGGACAAUGACACGGUCACGAGUUCAGUCCAAAUCAGACACCGGAGUAGGAUAUCAGAGAUUAAGAAGCUUACCUACAGUUCACGCAGCCUAGCAGAUGCGUAUGGGCUUCUGCUGCCCACUGCCUCUACUUGCCACCGCUGCUGCUGCUUGCCACUGCUCCUCCCAGCUGAUCUGCAGGCCCUAUAAGAACUAACGGGAUGACACGAGAACAGUAUGGUAUAGAAACAGAAGAUCUGGGCAAGAAGGAAUGGAAAAAUACAAACCUAUAUUAUACAUACUAUUACAGUUCGAUAUGAAGAUUCUCAAGAGAGAUGUGUAAACUAAAAUACUAAAAAGAAUCAUAGCCAAUUAAAAAAUGGCUGCAUACACAUAUACAGAUUUUCAGGAGAAAUGUGUAAACUAAAACACCUAACAAAUAUUUGAAUCAUGUAUAUGCAAAGCACAUUGCUAGCACGACCCACCAUGCAAACGAUCAUCAUAAAUACUUGUGAAGCUGUCUCAAGACCCUCUCCCAUUUGAAGCCGCACCUCCCUGUCUCUCCUGCAGAUCGAAUCCAGCGCUGCCGCCAUCGCCGGGAAGCUCGCCUCCGCACCCGGGGCAGACGAGAUGCGGGGUAUGGGUUUAUUAGCCCCAGUAAAAUGACUUGCUCCCUUAGAAUUCUUCGCAUAAAGUCAUGAACUGUAGUUCAAUAUAUUUUUUAUUUCUCUGAUACACCUCUCAUUAGAUAAAUGGAUCUGGAUCUGAAAAAUAUAUACUAAUGGUCAACAAAAGUAGAGUAGUCCCUUUGGAAAGGGCAAAAGGGAAUAAAAGCACGGCUAAAAUAUAUACCAUUCAUGCCCUGUCUCAACAAUUUCUGCAUCUCAUCAUAACUAAAACAUGAUUCGCAUCUAAUCAGAACUAAAAACCAGUUAACAGCUCGAUCAAUGCCAGCAUUUAAAAUCUGAACACCCUACAAUCCUGUAAUGCAAUAACAAAGAAAAACUGAAUAGUGGUUGUCCCCCUUGAUUCUUCAACAUGUCCUCUCUUCUGCCUCCCUAUCCUACAAUACAACAACCAAGAAACAGAGCAAUUAAUCAUAAGCGCAUAGCAAUAAGACCAAAAAGAUUGGUUCAGUUGAACUAUUAGUAAGCAGGAGACACGACGAAGAUCAAGAAUUUACAGACAUCAUGUGCAAACAUGCAACAUAUCAUCAUUGCAGUACUGCCGCAAGUAUCGAUCACUAAUUACAAUAUCAUGACAGAAUGCUCAUGUGGCCAUUCUUAUCCCAAGAUAUGCCAUCUUCUUCUAUGUGGCAUAUUCUAAUGCAAGUAUGGACCAAGAAUAUGUUCUAAUUACUUGCUAGCACUCCAAGAUAAUUAUAGAACAUGCAAGUAUGGGCCAGCGAAUCGAUUAUAUGUGCAGGUACAAAAGAUAAAGUGGAUAACCAGCCCAUUAGGUAAAACUGUAAAAAAAAUAAACACCUGACUGUACUUCCACUGAAGCUAUUGCAGCAUAGGUAGUUUUUUGCUCUUGGUCUGCACCAAUGGACCCAAGGUAUCAUGCUCUUGUGUUAGAGAAUACCAUGUUUUCUUUUUUAUUCUUUGUUUAUAUUGGCAUGUGAAAUGCAAUUCACCACUUUGUACUCAGACUUGUUUUGCCCAUACACCAGAAGCACCAGAAGGCAAACAUAAACAAUAAACAGGAGGCAACAAUGAAUUAAAAAAACAGAGGAUAUGCAUAUGCUAAUGAAUUAAAAGUAAACAUUUGGAAAUAUCCCAAAUGGUAAAUCUAUCACGAGAAGUUUCUUAUGAAUCUUUGUAGCAAUUUUUUAGAGAGCAUCAAACAUGUAAUCAGAUAAUUCUUUGUAAGCAUGCAUCCAAAUUCAUACUUGGACAGAGUGUAGAACAAGGGGCAGCAGAUCAACACCCCCUUCAGUAAACAAACAGCCACCCCUGGCAGUACUGCAAAAGAAAUCAUGUAACUGAGAUAAGCACUGAUAUAGCCAUAGAAUAUAUGAACAAUCAGAUUCAGUUGACCACUCUGUUCCUGCCAAUGCCCUCCAUGAGCUAAUGAGAGGAUCGAUUCAAUUGAAGGAAGCUUCCUCGUAGCAACAUGGCCAAAACUAUAUGUGAUUGCAAGCACACGGGAUUGCUAGGUACAGAUCAAUUGAAAGAAAUCUUAAGAACAAAAAACAAAAUUUCCAAACAUGCAUCUUUUGAGCAGUACAUGUAUGUGUUGCUUAUUCACCUUCUUUGCCAUGGCUUGCUGCUCCAAGCACGUGCAGCCCCAUAUCCUCCAUGGUUUGCUACUCCAAAACUGAGCAGCCCCCAAAUCCUCCAUUUUUACUGUUCUGUGUGUUUCUUCGUGUGAGAAAGGAGAAGAAACGACAUAGAGAGAUACAUACGGGAGAAGGGAGAGAAAGGACGUGGUCACCUGUAGACUGUGGUCAAGCCGCCCUGGAAGCAAGGUCCCGCCCGACCUUGCCGGUGCAGGCCGACGCCGGCGGUGGAAGACGACGAGCCGGCGGCACUCCUUCCGGUGGUCCUCUCCUGUCGGCCGUCGACCCCCUCUCCUCUUUCCUCUCUCUUUCUCCCUCCUCUCAUGUUCUUCCUUCUCUCUCUCCCUCUCAUCUUCUCUAUCCCGCAGAUCAAAUCGAGCGGCGCCGCCACCGCCCUUUGUCUACAAGUCGUCACGCUCCUUCCGGUCACCCUCUCUCAUCCGCCGUCACACCUCGCUCUCCUCUUUCCUCUAUAUUUCUCCCUCCUCUCCUUCCUUGUCUCUCUCCCUCUCUCAUAUUCUCUUCAGCAGAUCGGAUCGAGCGCUGCCGUUCUUUGCCGCCGCUGGAGAGGGCAGUGAAGAGGAGGAAGAGGCGGCACGGUGGAGAGCAGGGCAGAAGGGAAGGAGGCGGCGGCGGCGCCGUGGAGAGGGAGGGGAGCGGGGCGGCUAGGGUUGGAGGGGAGGGGAUUGGGUGUGCGUGUGGCUCGGGGCCGAGUGGCCGACGAGGGAGGGAGGAGCGAGGGGCGCGGGGCUGUGGAUUGGGGCUAGGGUUCGCACGGUGCGGUGUUUUUUGUGCUCGCGUGGUGCGCUGCAACCCUACGCGCGGGCACGGUGCGGUGGUCUUUUUUCCCUCGCGUGGUACCGUGCGCUCGAUGCCUUCGUUGUGACUACCACUCUAGGAGGCUUUAUAUGUUAGAUUAAUGACUCAUGAUAGUAAUACAGUAGCAAGAUUUAUAUCUUAAGUGCCACCUUUAACCUGUAAGACGUUCAUUACAUUCUUAUGGCAUGAACAGCAAAGCAUUUCUUAUCUUCCAACAUCAAUAUACACUAAAGUAUCUAUCUUAUGCCCUUCACACUUCACCAAUGAAAACAGCUUAAUAUUAUUGUUUGCUAAACAUGUUCUCCGUCUAUUUCGCAACCAAGUUCAAUACUUGUCUAUAGAAAAGGUAGGAACUUCUCUUAUAGUUGCAGUCUACUGUUUUUUUAGUAAUUCAAAAAUUCGUUACUAAUUUGCAAUGCUUUAAAUAAAAUUAACUUAUAAAGACAUUUUCUUCUGAAACAUAAAUAUUUUAAAGUAUUACACAUAGACUACAAACACGAGGAAUAAUAAUAAAAUAUUUUGGCUCUGUUUGCCUGUUCUCCAUGCAAAUGGGAAACAUUUCAAACCAAACAAUACUUGCAACUUCAUUACAUAUGAUGACACACUUUACUUCCGUCAAAAUGUAUAUUUUAGAAAAGGUAGGAACUUCUCUUAUAGCUGCAGCCUACUCUUUUAUUUACUAAUUCCGAAUUUCUUUACUGAUUAGCAUUCUUUAAAUAAACUUAAGAUAUGAAUACAUUUUCUUCUGAAAUAUAACUAUUCACAAGUAUUACACGUAGACUACAAACACGAAAAAUAAUAUAUUUUUUCCCUAUUUGCCCUGUUCUCCUUUUCCAAAUUGUAAAUAUUUAAAAUUAAACAAUACUUGCAAUUUCAUUAUCUACUAUGGCACACUUUCCUUUCGUCAAUAUCUGUAUUUUAUAAUUAAGGUACAACUAAAUAAGAAACUUGUUAAAUCUAUACUUAGAAACAGUACCUGCAGGAAGAACAGAGCCUUCCAAAGCACAUGUGUACAAUUGGAUAUGUUCUUCUUGUCACCUUCUGCAAUCUGUCAUUAAACUUGUUCCUGAUAGAAAAUGACAUUGCAGAACAAGUGAUUCGGCACGAAUUGCUUGCAAUACAUCUGCCAGUAUAGUACACUAUACCAUAAAACAAAUUAAAAUUUGAACUAAAGUUAUAAACACACUAAAAGUAGUAUCUAUUUCUCUCUUCAUCUGUUCAUACUUUGCUCUUACUUUCUCCUUACUUACAUAAGUUUAACAUCUGCAAAGAAGUGCACAUGCAUCUACACAUUGUUCUUCCGAUCAUUUCUAAGAACUCAUGUCUCUUUACAUUUCAAAUACAGCAACCAUGAGCAAGUCAGAUACAGGGAGUGCUACAUCGCUCAGACGCAGCUUCAGGCCAGUCCAUUCUACUCCACCAGGUUCCCUUUGGUAGCAACAAGAGUCCACCCGGCCGGUAAAUGGGUUCACUUUGGAAGAAUUGCUCAACAAGAUACAUCCACUGAUCUGUGAUCGAGGGACGAUCACAGUCCAUGCUACAUCACACAAAGAGUCAAUCUUCUCUUUCACAAACGACACUGACACCCGUCUAGGAUACGAGUUGCUUACCGGUUGCAUGGAGUGCAUAACACAAGCAGGCAGUCUCAAGUUCAAGCAGUGGCUCCACUACUAGGAAAAGGGCUAUAGAUGGAAUUGACACUAAUGGCGCGCCAGACAUGUGGUGCGCCAUUAGUAUAUACUAAUGGCGCACCAUCCUCUGAUGCGCCAUUAGUGUUGAAACUACUAAUGGCGCACCCUGCCCACGGUGCGCCAUUAGUACCAAUUUUUUUUUUGAACUAGUGCGCCUGUCCAAACAUACUAAUGGCGCAUCCGCGGAUGGUGCGCCAUUACUAGUUGUAACUAGUAAUGGCGCACCAGCCAGAAGGUGCGCCACUAAUGUUAUUUUUUUAUUAUUGUUUUUAUUCCUUUUUUUGCAAAAGUACUAAUGGCGCACCACCAGGGGGUGCGCCAUUAGUAACCUGGAUUACUAAUGGCGCAUUUGUUGCUGGUGCGCCAUUAGUAAGUGGGCAGCAACAAGAUAUUUUGGACAGCCUCUUCUCCCACACUCACUUUCUCCCCACUUCAUUCUCUCCACCGCCUCCUCCUUGUCUCGGGUGCCUCCUCUUUUUCACCUCAUUUCCAUCAUAGAUUCAUUCAAAUUAAGUGGUUAAGUUACCUUGUUUUGCUAGGUAAGUAAGGGGGGAAGCUAUAUUUAUGUUGUUCUCUCUACAACAAUGUGCACAUGCACUUUUUAUGGCCUAGCUAGAUCUAUGUAUGUUUGUGGUAUUGCAUAUGUGUUUGUGUUUGGAGGUGUACCGGUAUUUGAAAUGCGAUAGUUGCCAAUAUUUUGCCGGAAUGUUGAUUCAUUUCCGUUUCGGCGAGAAUUUUGGCAUUAAGCAUUCUUUUUGGUCCUAUUUUUAGGGAAAGUCAUGCCAAAUUUUUUCUUGGUUCUAAAAUAUUGUUUUGCUCUACCCCGCAGGCGACCAUGGUCCGCACGAUGACCGAAGGCAUCGUGAAUAGGUUUUUGAGGUCCGCGAAGGCCGAGAUGCUUCAAAAGAACGAGACGGAGAUAAGAUGUCCGUGUCGAAGAUGCAAGCUGAAUAGCCUUAUUGCGGACCCGGAUUCCGGGCAGGUGCGGGACCACCUGCUCUUGCGUGGUUUCAUGGAUGGCUAUCGGUGGCAAGGUGAUGAAGAUGACUACGAAGUCGUCCAUGGGGGCCGGGCAAGAAAUGAGAAAGGGCAGCAAGACAACCACCGCGGCUCGGGGGGGCGAGAAGACGAAGAAUCCCCAGGAGAUGAUCACGACGGUGAUGCUGUACACAGUCAUCAUGUAGAAGAUGCAGGACAUGAUGAUGAUGCCGGCGGAGCAGACGACGCUGGACCAUCGAUGGGCUGGGUGCAGGACCCUCAUAUUCAAGAGCUGCUUCUCAAGCAGACGGAUAACGCAAGAGCUGCCGCCCGAGAGAAAGCCAAGAUGGAUCAACUUGAGUUAGACGCGGUUACUCCAUUGUAUGAAGGAUGCAGGCCCGAGGAUACCCGCCUGAAAGUAACGCUCGUGGCUCUGGAGAUGAAGGUAAAACACAAAAUGACCGACGCAUGCUUCGACGAGAACAUGUCAUUCUGGCACGAACGUCUUCCCAAGGGGAACAAGUGCCCGACCAGUUUGGAGGAGGCGAAGAAAAUCGUGUGUCCUCUGGAUUUACCGCACGUGAAAUACCAUGUGUGCAUGAACAAUUGCAUCAUUUAUCGGGACGAGCACGCGGAGUCUACCAUAUGUCCGGUGUGCGGUGUCACUCGAUACAAGAAGAGGAAGAAAGCUCCUCGAAAAGUGGUGUGGUACUUUCCGAUCACUCCUCGUCUGCAGCGGUAUUUCGCGGACCCUAAGGUAGCAAAGCUCCUGCGUUGGCACGCGGAUAGGGAGGAGAAGAAGCAAGAAGAUGACGCAAAUGAUCCGGAGAUAGAUAAAAAAGACAAGAUGCUGAGUCACCCUAAGGAUGCGAGCCAGUGGCAAGCGUUGAACUUCGAAUACCCAGAAUUUGGAAAUGAUCCAAGGAACAUCAUGCUGGGCGCGAGCACCGAUGGAGUCAAUCCGUUUGGCAGUCAGAGAAGCACACAUAGCACCUGGCCUGUGUUCGUGUGGAUGUACAACCUUCCCCCCUGGUUGUGCAUGAAGAGGAAGUACAUUCACAUGAGUAUGCUAAUUGAAGGGCCGAAACAACCAGGGAACGACAUCAAUCUGUAUCUGGGGCUGCUGAAAGAGGAGAUUGACACGCUGUGGAAAACGCCAGCCAAUACGUGGGACGCCGCAGAGAAAGAAUAUUUCCCUAUGAGAGCCGCAUUGCUCACGACGGUGCACGACUAUCUCGGUUACGGAUAUCUUGCGGGGCAGGUAGUCCAUGGAUUUUCUGGAUGCGUAAGGUGCAUGGAUGACACAACGUAUCGCCAGCUAGAUAGAGAUCCCGAGUCUUCAAAAACCAUGUUCAUGGGACAUCGAAGGUGGCUUCGCGACGAUGACCCGUGGAGGAAACGCAAGGAUCUGUUCGAUGGUGAAACCGAACCCCGAAAACGCCCGUGUACGAGGAGCGGCGAGGAAAUAGACAAGCUGUUGAAAAAUUGGAAAGACUGCCCACUGCCGGGAAAGAAGCAAAAGGCGCCAGAGCCGCUGCUGAAGGUAUGGAAAACGAGGUCUAUUUUCUGGGACUUGCCGUACUGAAAGAUCCACUGUGUGCCUCACAGCCUUGAUGUCAUGCAUAUCACGAAGAACGUGUGCGAGAGUCUGCUUGGUACCCUGCUCAACAUGCCAGAGAGGACCAAAGAUGGGCCGAAAGCAAGGGCAGACUUGAAAUCAAUGGGCAUCAGGCAGGAGCUUCACGCUAUAUAUGAUGAUGAUGAUGAUGAUGAUGAUGAGGCGAAGCAGGACACAGAAAGUCGUCGCAAAGGCAAAAAGGCCAAGAAGACCGGAAAUGACUACCCUCCCGCGUGCUUCACUCUAAGUCAGGAGGAGAUCGAGCAGUUUUUCAGGGCCCGGUACAAGAAGGACCCGAAAACAAAGGAGCUUACCACGGAUCCGAAGACCAGGCAGCUUGAGCUUGUUCUGGUAAGGAAUACACCCCCGCGUAAUUAGCUCCAUAUGGUUGCAUUCUAAUUAAUGAAGCCAAAUUUCUAAAUGGUUCACAUUCCUUCCGCAGGCGACUGAAAGCAGUAGCGCGGGGUCGACUAAGAGCAACCCUUGGGACACCACUCUAAAUAGGGGGUUGAAUGUAAUGAAGAACAAGGAUAAGCUCAGUAAGCCGACGCCAGCUGGUCGUGUGGCCGGCAAAGGCUUGUCGACAAAAUGGGGGUCAUACUAUACCGCUGGUGUGCGGAAGGAGAAAAAGACCAGCUCGGAAAGCCAGGCGCGAGAGGUUCAAGAACUCAAGGCACAGGUGGCGCGGAUUCCGGAGAUUGUCCAAGAGCAAGUGGAACAACGACUCGGAGCGACGAUCACCGCCCUUGUGCCUACCUUGAUCUCGGGGUUGAGUGCGUGGAUUGCGGGCGGCCAACAGGGGCCGCCCCCGAUUCCUAGCUUCACGGCCAGCAACUCGCAUAAUGCGAUGGCAGGGCCAUUGGUGCCUCCGGCGGAGGCGGCAUUGGUGUCUCCGACGCCGACACGGGAGCUUAAUGCACCCGGGUGUACGCCGGCCGGCACCUCUUCAGCAAGCGGCCCCUCCGUCAACUGCACGCCCGCCGUUGGCGGUGCCUCGACAUUAGUCGAGCUCGACGCCAUCAUCACGGUAACUAAUUAAACCUCUCUCGGCCGAGGACUUCAUCUCCUUGCCUUUGAUUGGGCAUCCCUCAUGCCCUACAUGUUUUCGCAGGGCGCCGCCGACGUUCCGUGCACUCUCCUCCACUUCGUGAACAACGAGUUGGUCGAUGUCGCCAAGGGCAAAAUCAUUCAAUCGGGCAACCCCUUGUUCCACGGUACCCAGAUGCCACCCAACUUGUUUAGGGUUCAACUGGUUCGGGUGCUGCCAGGCUGCGACGACUUGUUACCUCCGAUUCGACCCGUCGGGGCCGACGAUGAAGACGUGAUGACCCUCAGCGCCUGCCUGAGCUGGCCCCUGCUUUGGCCGAAGAGCCAGAUUCGUUUGGGGGUGGGGGACACCACCCCAAAGACAACACCGCCAGUCGUGCCGGUGCCAAGUCGGCCCCAUGGCAAGACCGCCGUAACGGUGCCGGACAUCCCUAUGCCACUGGAUCCAAACAUGCAUAUGGCACAGGAUCAGAACGACGACGACGACGAUGAUGAUACAUUUGGCAAUGUCGAUCAGUACUUUGCCGAGCAUGGGUACGAUGGCGACUUCAUGGGGCCUCCUUCUCAAGAACCAAACCCAACAAAAGACGUGUGCGAUCUAGCUCGUACCGCGGAGAAGCCAAGUUGCAACAGGCGCCGUCUGGCGUUCAGCUCUCAGGAGACGCCUCCAGCUGCCGACUUCACCGAGCCUCGGAUAGGCGAGGUGCGAAAUAUUAUCAGCCCCAACACACUCAAGAAGGCGGUCUGUGAGCAGAACUCGGUCCCAUUACAGGAGAAGAAGAUGGCACGCAAAAGAAAGACUAAGAAGGGUGCGAGCCAGCCGGCACCGAGUACGAUCCGUGCUCAGGACGGGCCACCUUCACCGCAGGAUAUCUCGAGGAGGGUGCAUGUGGCGGGUAGGGCGAUGCUACCGACGAAUAUGCUCAAUGCUGCAACCGGUGCUAUGCGGAGUCUGCAUGACAGUGUUCUUGCUUUGGAGAAGCGGCGUCUCAGAGAGAAGGAUGUGGCAUACCCGGUUUUCGCGGCCAAGGUGCCAGAGGGCAAGGGAUUUGUGGAUAACUCCAUCGGGCGUACGAUCGUCCUGCGUUUUGAUGACAUCCACGCUAUGUUGAACCUUCAUCCGCUGCACUACACCUUCGUUCGGCUAUUUUCGCUGAGUAUGGAGAUGCGGAUCAUUCGUGACAAGACCCCGGACAUCGUGAUAGUCGACCCCUUCUACAUGCGUGCCAAGAUCUUGGGCAGCACUGGGGACCGGCAAGUCGCGAGUUCUUACCUCGAAGGCGUCAUUCUAGCAAACCAAGAUAAGGAUAACUUCCUCGUGCCUUACUUUCCCGAGUAAGUCCUCCCCUCAACCGGCCCGUAACAUAUGAAUUCUUACAUUUCGAUCGUUUUUCUUUUAACAUUCCGUGUUUUCUGCAGUGACACACGUUGCACGCUCAUCCUCCUAAGCCCCAAAUAUUCCAUGGCCACGUAUUUCGACCCGGACCAUCAGUCGAAUGUAGACUACACAAAUGUCAAGAAGGUUCUUGAUGAUGUUCUCCCCGGCUACGCCCAAUCUGGAGGCACCUUCACCAGGCCUAUUCGUAAGUACGGCAAGCACGUGUUCUCCCACAAUACGAUGUUCUGCUACGUCAAGCAGCCGCCUGGCGGUCAGAAGGGUGCCUACUACGCCAUCCAUCACAUGCGGGCGAUCGUACGGGACCAUCAUCAACUUCUGCUACCGAGUAAACUCAAAGAUUGGGCCGCGAGCGUGUCGACAAUCCAGGACGCGGACCUCCGACAAGAAUUCUUUCGCAUCCAGUCGGAGUUUGCGGAAAUCAUCCAUCAAGAUGUCCUUCGUACCUCGGGGCAGUUCUACCUCAGAAAUUAACCGUCCAACAGUGACAUCGACACAAUGCUACAAAUGCAGGAUGACAACGCCCGUUCUUUCAUGACUCCCACGAUAGACGGCGGCUUCAUCCACGCUCCGGUCCCUUGAGUCGAGUUGUCUAGUUCUGAAACAUCGAUUGGCUCAUGUUGUAAUUAAACUUUAAUGAACUUGUAGUAUGUCUCUUUGGUUUCGAGAGUCGUUCAACUUAGAUGUAAUCGAUGCUAUUAAUGUCUUGCUUUUCUCUUCCGAUCGUUCUGUUGCAUACUUAUAUAUUGCUUAUGUAUUGUCUGUGAAUUGGUACUAACGUUUCGUUUGGCUAGUGCAUAGCGAUGCCGACGUAUGUCGUGUACAAGAGUAAGGUUCCCGGAGUCUACGAUGACUGGGAGGAGUGUCGGAGACAGGUUCACCGAUUCAGCGGUAACAGUUACAAAGGGUACACCACUAGGGCCGAGGCCGAAUCUAGAUACGCCCGCUAUCUAGCGGGAGAGGGGAGGGAGAGUUGGAGGAACCGGAUGAAGACGAGUUUCAUCGUGAUGAUGCUCAUCGUGAUGACCGCAGCUCUCUUCUAUGUGAUGGUAGUUUAGAUGAUCGAUAUCGACUUGUAAUGUGAAGACAGACUCGCUACUCGUGGUCUCGAGACUUGUAAUAUAAUGUUCUAUCUUUGUUCGGUCUUUUCAAUUCGGAGACUAAUAUGAUGAAUUUUAUUCGGAGACUAAUAUGAUGAAUUGUAUUCAAAGACUAAUCUUCUAUUGUAUUUGAUGAAUCUGUUGUUGAUGUGUGCUGUCUAUAUUUUGUCAAAUUAUACAUUUUGUAACCUGUGCAAAAAACAGAAAAUAAAAAAAUAAAAAAAACCUAAUAUUCAUACUAAUGGCGCAUCACAUGACAGUGCGCCAUUAGUAUGACAGUGCAUACUAAUGGCGCAUCACUGGGCAGUGCGCUAUUAGUAUGCCGCGGUUACUAAUGGCGCAUCCAGUGGUGGUGCGCCAUUAGUAUGCCAAAGCACCUGGGUAUACAUGGCCCCUGGGAGGCAUACUAAUGGCGCACCCUGGCCUAUACUAAUGGCGCACCCGAGGUGCGCCAUUAGUAUACCAGAUACUAAUGGCGCACCAGGUGGUGCGCCAUUAGUAAAAAUUACUAAUGGCGUGCUAUUAAUGGCGCAUCACAGAUGCGCCAUUAAUAGCCAUACUAGGUGCGCCAUUAGUAGGGGUUUUUCUAGUAGUGCUCCCAAUAGAUGAACUGGGUUUUGAUGUUGCAGAGCAAUGGCUUCAUGUCUCUAUCACAAAUCUUCCCUUACAUGUUUGGUCAGCAGCGGCUGUAGAGCACAUUCUUAGUCCCUAUUGUGCAAUGGAGCACAUAACAGAUCACACGGAUCAUCGAAUAGACAUCAAAACCUACAGAUGGGCAACAUGGGGUCAGCGUAGAAUUCCUGUACCAAAUUCGAUCCUGCUUUGUAUUCCAAUAACCAAAGCUGAUCCAGGAAUGUGCAUGGAUACACAACCAUACAGAAAGCUUCGUACAUAUCGUCUACAUAUCCACUGCCACCACUACAUCUACAAGAAGGAUGAAGGCGCUACAAACAUGCCAAUCACACAAGUUCCUAGGUAUGAGAAUACAUACAACACCAACGAAGCAGUCUAGUUUCUUCCACCAAAAUUGGUUGAUGAGCAGAUUAUAAAGGAGCUAUCCACAGCGGUUGUCGUCUCAGGCACCUCCAAGCAAGCCGACGCACUGUGGAAAGAUGUAUACUACCUCUACCCAGGUUUAGAUCCGAGGGACGUCAGGAUGGACACAAUGAGCAAAGAUCAGCAGAUCAUUAUACUACCAGACAACACAACAGGUGCAGCAAUCUAAAGCAAAAUUCUAUCAACAGAGCUCACAUGCAUGCCACAUGUCACCCCAUGGAGCCCAGAUAUUGGCUCCAUCAACAGCACACUCAGCACAUGUGCCCAACUCAUGAUCAACAGGAUCCCAGCGCAUUUUUGCACGCAGAAGCUGAUGAAACUUCUUCUUGCAUAGUUCUGCUACAUGGAGAUCCCGGACAAAAAUGUUGAACUACUGCUAACAUGCAAAUCAUAUCGAUGCAUAGUUUGGUGCAACAGCCCGGCUGCGAUUGCAAAGACCCUGCUUGCAAAGUUUGUGGACACAGAGAUAGCCCCCACGAUGGUGCUUCAUCCAGACCCAGAUGUGACUGUAAGGACAGCAAACAUUCUGAUCGACAUACAGCAAACUGCGCCUAUCAUCAAUGACAUGAUCACUGUCUAGGCACUCAAUGAACGCAACCAAAUAGUACUAAUCAUCGGUAUGACCGCUAUCUUUGCUUCUCUGCCUUGUUGAACCUCUAUUUUAUUUGAUCUUCAUAAAUAACUUCCUAACACAUUCAUCACUUACACAGCAACCACGCCAGGACUCUCACAUCAGCGGCAUCUACCCUACGUUCACUUUUGUUACAUCAUCGAAACGAAGCCAUAUCGACGACGCCCACACUCUUCUGCACCUCAUGAAUACCUCUGCGCCAGAUCCAAUCCUCUCACACAAGAGCCUAUGGGACUGUUUCCUCUAUUAUCACUACACACUGCUUUAAGUUACUUAUUUAUAACCUAUGUAAGCUAGACAACCUAUACUUGCUUCCCCUGUUUAUUAAUAAUACAUAUCCUUUCAUCGCCUAGAUGUUUGUCUCGGUUCUCUUUGGGUUAUCAAAUUAAUUUGUGCUUGCCAAGUUUUCUUUUCAACCCAACAAUCUGAUGAUUAUUGUUUUUUAAAACAUUCAUGCAUACAGAGCUAUCAACAAUACACAAACCAUCUUUUGCCUACUAGCUAGAGUGUGAUCUAAGGCAGAAAGCUGAAUUCUUACUAAUUUAAAAAAGUAUUUAUGAAGUAUGAAAAUAUGUACAUCCAGUAAGAAUUCAAUCUUAUGCCUACUAGCUCUAAUUAAACGUUUCAAAACACUUUGAACAAACAAAUACAUACCUUCAUACGCUCAGACUAUCGGUUCCUUAGUCCGUCAGGAACAUCCUACAAAUAGCUCCUUUCAAUUCUUUCCUUUUCAAUCCACUACUCCAGAUCUGACCCUACAAUGACAUUAGAACAGAACUCCAUCAAAUGAAAAGAUAAAUGUUCCCAGCACUGGAAUCGCAUCCUCGGCGAGCUCCUCUCCCAGAGACACGAUGACGAUCUUACCCUUCUUGUACCUCUCCAGCCUCUGACUCAUCCAGCUUCACCGUCAGCUCGAACCCUGACUCGGAAACGCCCAACAUUCCUCCGAUCGUAUCGAUGGCCGCCAGGAGGUAGGAGGUGGUCCUUCUCAUGAGCCACAUCCUCUGUGCGUUCAACCACUCAAAUGUGGUGUCACCACAUUGCAGAGACUCCAUUAGGCUCCAGGAGUAUGCAACUACCAUGAUGGCUGGUUAUCUGGAUGAGUUUGUGAAAGUGCAACUAUCCCUAGGUGGUUUUGGUAAUUCAUAACAACAUAUAGCUCAUUGAGCUAAUGCUAUUCCAAGAUGAUUAUUUCAGGAAAGCUCAAUGAUUGGCAUGGCAUGGAUGGUGAAAGUGGAACCCUCAAAAUGCUAAGGACAAAGGAUUGUCUCAAGCUCAAAAGCUCAAGACUCUUCAUUUUAUAUUUUAGUGAUCCAAGAUCACAUUGAAUCUUUAGGAAAAGCCAAUACUAUCAAGGAGGGAUGAGGUGUUGCUUAAUGAGCCUCUUGCUUCAUGUGCUUAGUGAUAUGCUCCAAAACCCUCAACUACUUUCCCAUAUCCACAUAUGACCUAAACCCUAAGCCAAACUCGGUCCUACCGAUUCUUCCUAUCCGGCGCCACCGAGUUUCACUUGUCAUAAGCCACUGCCAAACCGAGAUGGGAUAGCAAUUCGGUUCUACCGAUAGGGAUCUCGGUCUCACCGAGAUGGGAUUGCAAACUCUCUGUUUCCCUUUCGUAACUUUUUGGUCUCACUGAAAGAGCGGACGGUCCCACCGAGAUUGCAAUGUAAAUUCAGUGUUUCCUUUUUGUAACUUUUCGGUCUCACCGAAAGAGCAAAUCGGUCCCACCGAGUUUGCCUGACCAACUCUCUGGUUAGCUAAUUACCAAAUUCGGUCUCACCGAGUUUGUGUAAUCGGUCUCACCGAGCUUACGUUAUGCCCAAACCCUAACCAUAUCGGUCCUACCGAGUUGCAUGUCAGUCCCACCGAAAAUCUCUAACGGUCACUAGGUUUACAUUUUCGGUCCGACCGAGUUUGUUGAUUCGGUCCCACCGAGAUUGGAAAACUGUGUGUAACGGUUGGAUUUUGUGUGGAGGCUAUAUAUACCCCUCCACCUCCUCUUCAUUCGUGGAGAGAGCCAUCAGAACACAUACACAAUUCCAACUCAUAUGUUCUGAGAGAGAACCACCUACUCAUGUGUUGAGACCAAGAUAUUCCAUUCCUACCAUAUGAAUCUUGAUCUCUAGCCUUCCCCAAGUUGCUUUCCACUCAAAUAUUCUUUCCACAAAAUCCAAAUCCUAUGAGAGAGAGUUGAGUGUUGGGUAGACUAUCAUUUGAAGCACAAGAGCAAGGAGUUCAUUACCUACACACCAUUUGUUACUUCUUGGAGAGUGGUGUCUCCUAGAUUGGCUAGGUGUCACUUGGGAGCCUCCGACAAGAUUGUGGAGUUGAACCAAGGAGUUUGUAAGGGCAAGGAGGUCACCUACUUCGUGAAGAUCUACCGCUAGUGAGGCAAGUCCUUUGUGGGCGAUGGCCAUGGUGGGAUAGACAAGGUUGCUUCUUCGUGGACCCUUUGUGGGUGGUUGCUUCUUCGUGGACCCUUCGUGGGUGGAGCCCUUCGUGGACUCGCGCAACCGUUACCCUUUAUUGGUGGAGCCCUCCGUGGACUCGCGCAACCGUUACCCUUUGUGGGUUGAAGUCUCCAUCAACGUGGAUGUAGGAUAGCACCACCUAUCCAAACCACGGGAAAAACAUCCGUGUCUCCAAUUGCGUUUGAAUUCUCCAAACCCUUCCCUUUACAUUCUUGCAAGUUGCAUGCUUUACUUUCCGCUGGCAAUAUACUCUUUGCAUGCUUGCUUGAUUGUGUGAUGAUUGCUUGACUUGUCCUACAAUAGCUAAAAUCUGCCAAGAACUAGAAUUGGGAAAAGGUUAAGUUUUUAUUUGGUCAAGUAGUCUAAUCAUCCCCCCUCUAGACAUACUUUCGAUCCUACAAGUGGUAUCAGAGCCAGGUUUCCAUUUGCUUUGAUCUCCAUAGCUUUUGGUGGUCAUAGCCUUGGUUUCACAACCUAGGAGAGUAUGGCGUCUAGCAAGGGAAAUUAUCACCGUAGAGGUCCGUACUUUGAUGGUACUAAUUUUGCUAGUUGGAAGCAUAAAAUGAAAAUGCAUAUUCUUGGACAUAACCCCGCUGUUUGGGCUAUUGUGUGUGUUGGUUUGCAAGGUGACUUCUUUGAUGGGAAAGAACCAAACCGUGAAGCUACCGCGGAUGAGUUGAAGAUGUUGCAAUACAAUGCUCAAGCUUGUGAUAUUCUCUUCAACGGAUUGUGCCCCGAAGAAUUCAACAAAAUCAGCCGUCUUGAGAAUGCAAAGGAAAUUUGGGACACUUUGAUUGAUAUGCACGAAGGUACCGACUCCGUCAAGGAAUCCAAGUUGGAUGUGCUUCAAAGUCAACUUGACAAGUUCAAAAUGAAGGAUGGUGAAGGUGUCGCUGAAAUGUACUCUAGGCUUGCUCUCAUCACAAAUGAGAUUGCCGGCUUAGGAAGUGAAGAGAUGACCGAUAGAUUCAUCAUCAAGAAGAUUUUAAGAGCCUUGGAUGGAAAAUAUGAUACCGUGUGCACAUUGAUUCAAAUGAUGCCCAAUUACAAAGAUCUUAAGCCAACAGAGGUGAUUGGAAGAAUUGUUGCUCAUGAGAUGUCACUUAAGGAUAAAGAGGAACUUCACAACAAAUCAAGUGGUGCCUACAAAGCCUCAUAUGAAGCCCCUACAUCAUCAAGUGAGAAACAAGACUUCAAUGAAGAAUUGAGCUUAAUGGUGAAGAACUUCAACAAGUUCUACAAGAGUAGAAGCAAAGAUAGAAGCUCCUAAGACCUUAGUCAAGUGGAUUCCCAAGACUACUUCAAGUUCCACUUCAUCAAGUACGACUACAACUCCAAGGAUUCCCAUCAAGAUGGUGUGGAUCCAACAGAAGAAGAACUAGAGAGUUCUUGGGGGUGACUCCGCCAACAUACUUCACUCUUAUCAUUUUGGCAAGAACAAGUGCAAUCAACUUCCACAUCUUGCACUAGUUCAAGGAGUCACAAACCCUCUUGUUGGUAAGACAAGGGACAAGGUAACCUAAAAGUUUUCAUGGACAUCAUCUUGUGUGUGCAUCACUCUAUGUCUAUGGAUAUCCUUGUUUGUUCCUUGUGGGACUAACCCAUGUAGGUAUUGAAAGUGCAAUUCACUCAAAUGGAUAGCUCCAAGUGAUCUACAUCAACAUUGAGCAUCCACAUCUUCAACAUCUACAUGAAAUCAUCAUUGACAAAACUCGAGGUUAGUUCAUCCCUCUAAGGGGGGAUAUCACAUCUAGGGGGAGCUUUACUCUAAGGCUUGAGCUAAAGCAACUCUAAAGAUGUGAACACAACAAUGCUUUAUGUAAAAGUGGUAACCCCACUUGAGCUUAAACGAUGAGUAUGACCUAUGAUCAAGUGUUCUCACUUGACUCCUAAGUCAAUAUACUCAUAUAUAGAUGACCUUGUCAUCGCAAAUUGCUUGAUAGAUGCUAGUAUUGGUUGUGCAUGCCUUGUCACAUAUUUCGUUUGCCAUCUUAUUGUGUGAGCAUGCUGGUUGCAUAUUUUACUCAUUCGAGGACAUCCACUUGUUGUUUUGAUUGUUCGGUUUUAUUUUCUUUUGCCAAGUGGAUGGACAAGAAUGCCUAAGAACCUCCUCUAGCUAUCUAUGAUUUUCUCGUCUCAAACUCUAUUCAUGCUACAUCACAAAAUUUGAUCAAGUCAGAUUCGAACCACUCUGUGUGAGGAGCGCUCGGAGUCCCCAAUUCGUCAUAGACUUAAACUUCCAAAACCUCUUUAUGAUUCUCGGUCUGACCGAUACCCCACUUUCGGUCCUACCGAGAUCAUUAAGUUGAUAUAGGUUUUCAAUCUCGGUGCAACCGAUUUGAACCUUUCGGUCACACCGAGUUUCAGUAACUGCUUGCAGUUAUGAAUCUCGGUGCCACCGAGUUGUUCCACUCGGUCACACCGACAGGGUCGGGCUAUAUAUAGUCACGGGCAAAAAUUUGGAAAUUUCUCCGAACCCCUUCGCCCGCGCGAUAGCCUGCUCUGCCAACUUGGUCUCCGGAUCGUCUCCUUGCCGCCAGCCGCCUCCAGUCGCCGGUCUCCAUCGCCGUCAACGGAAUUCUAUCCCGCCGUUGCCUCCGUAGCGAGUCUCCGCCAAACUAGGGUAUGGACUCGAUCUUUGUGCUGUUCUCCAAUCCGAUUCUUAGCACAUUGUGAUCAUCAUGAUUCUUGCCACGAUUGAAACACUCCUAUCCAGUCAAUGCGCUCGUAGAUUAGGUUUGAUUCGAAGAUUUUAGGGUUAGGUUUCCGCCGAAACCAUCUCAGACCCACCGAGUUGAAAAACUCGGUCCCACCGAUUUGGCUUAUGCCAUGGCACAAGUGAAACUCGGUCUGACCAAGAAUUACUUAUCGGUGUGACCGAUUUUGGAACUCUGUGAAACCCUAGCAGUCUUGGUGCCACCGAACUGUGACUCGGUCUGACCGAGUUCACUAGUUUAGGUGCCAAAACUGCUUUGGUAUCACCGAGUUUAAAAAUCGGUAGAUUCGAGAUGAUUUCAGUGGGAAACUAAAACUAAGUUUUUGGAUCAUUCUUUUGCAAAAAUCUCUGCAUUUUGUGAUGCUCAUCUAUUCUACCUCAUCUAUAAACUAUUCAUAGAGUCAGCAGACAGCUUGUUCAUCAUGUCAGAUCAGAGUGACAGCCAGAAUGUGUCAGAACAGCAAGUGCACAUGAGUGAGGGCACUAGUCUCUCCAGCUCUUCAGAUGAUGGCAGCAGGAGUACCCCAAGCAAUCUGCCUAAAGCUGCCACCAGACAGAGGAAGAAGAGAACUUCAGAUUCUGAGGAUGAAGAUUAUGUGGGAGAAGAGGAAGCAACUUCAAAGAGAGUUGAGUCAGCUCAAGGCACAAAGCCAGGGUUGAAAGUCAAGAGGCCAGCAGGCAGGCAGCCUAUGUCAAAGGCCAGAGCUUCAACUAAGAAGCCCACUGCCAAAGAGCCAGUUGCUGCUGAAGGCAAGAAAAGGAAGGAAAGGGUCAAGAAGACCGUAGCCAGAGUGCUUGGAAACGCUUCCAUCAUGGAAGAAGAGGAAGAAGAAGAGGUUGCUGCACCAGCACCUAAGACACCUAAGCUUAUGGGUGAUGCUAUAAGAUCAGGGGCUGCCACAUCUAAGCCCAAAGAAGCACCCAAAGCUGCCUCCAAGCCCAAGUCUGCACCAAAGAGGAAUACAAGAAGCAUACCUGCUGCUGAGAAGAACAAGGCCCCAGUGCCUGAAGCUGUAGAAGAAGAUGAUGAAGAGCAAGUUCUCAGAAAACUCAAGCCCAAGAUCCCAGACCACAACGAUGCUCAUCAUGUGGCUGAGGACAUGAAGCUCAGGAGAGACUCAGGGCUGAGGAAGUGGAGAGAAGCAGACCCGUAUGCUUCAAGGAGGAGGACUGCUGUGGAUUACAGAUUUCACACCAAGGAACAGCAAGAUUUCUAUGAGAUAGUGCUGCUUGAUAAGAAGCCAAUAGUCUGUGAUAUGAGAUGGGUUGACUGGCAAUACAUCAAGGACAACGAAGAGUACUACCCUGGAGUGCAGGGCAGCUUCAAGGCAUGUGGAGUAGAGGACUUUGUUGGGCAGAAGCUCACAAAGUGGAACGAGGAGCUUAUCAUGCAGUUCUACUCCACAACACAUUUUUAUCCAGAUGGAAGGAUCACAUGGAUGUCUGAGGGUACGAGAUACCAAUCUACUGUUGAAGAAUGGGCUAAGUUGAUAAAUGCCCCAGAGGAGCAUGAGGAUGACUUGGAUAUCUAUGCCAAGAAGAAGAUGGACCACAACUCUAUGUCCAACAUGUACAAGGAAAUUCCAAACGAGGCACUUGACACUUUCAAGUUUGGGUCUGUGCACUAUCUUCUGUCAGGGCUGCCAACCAUCAAUUGGAUAUUGAGGCACACCUUAUUGCCCAAGUCUGGAGAUCACACGAUGAUCAGAGGCCAUGCAAUCAACUUGCUACAUAUCUUUGAUGUGCCACAGAAGUUCAAGGUGAUGAGCCUCAUGGUAGAGACAAUCAAGAGGACAGCAGCAGACCAGAAGAGGAGCUGUGGAUAUGCCCCACAAAUUCAGGAGCUCAUUAACUCCAAGAUGGGCACGAGCAUAUACUUAUUGGACAAGGAACACUUGCCCAUCCGUCUAGAUUUUGAAGAUAAUCAAGUUGUCAUGACUGAGAAUGAACCAUCGUCUGCACAAGCACAAGCAAAGAAGGAGAAGGCAAGGAAGGAGAAAGCUGCCAAGAUGCCAACUCAAGAGGAGGCAUUUGAGUAUUUCCUGAAAACCAAACAAGAGCAGCUUGGUUACCUGAUUGUAUCCACCCUGCGGAUUGAGAAAGGACUAGCCACCCUAACUCAGAACCAGGCAAGCCUAGAGAGAAUCAUGGAACAAAAGUUCUAUGACUUGGAUGUCAAGGUGACAGAGAUUCAGACUGCAGUGGAGCAGCUCCAAGAUGAUAUGCAGGAGAGGAAAGGGAAGACAACCACUGAUGCCUUUGCCAGAGUGCCACGAGGUCCGAGGUCAUCUGCAGUGCCAGUUCCUGCCACAAGAGCAACUGCCUCAGCUCCAGCCAUAGCACCAGCCCAACCUGCUCCAACGUCUACUUCAGCUCCAACUCCAGCGUCUACUUCAGCGUCUAUAGAAGCCUUCGUCCUUGGAGUGCUCCGGACUCCACCACCAUCAGAAGAUCAAGCCUGAGCGUCGAUCUAGCACUAUGCAUUUUCUAGGAACUUUUUGGUAACUUGUUGCCAAAGGGGGAGAAAAAUGUAUAGAUCAUAGGCUUCGAGAGAGAGUGUGUUGCUUUUUUCUCUCUUGCUUUAUUUGGUGGUUCUUCGAACUUUGUUUGCUUUUGAGUGCUUGAGAUACUACGUCAUUAUCUGUGAGACAUUGAUGAUCGUGUGUUUGAUCAUAAGCUACACUUAAUGUUUGCUUAAUGCUAUUAUCUUAUCUAUCUUAUGUGAUCAUUCACUAUUCUUGGUGAUGAGUGCAUGUAUUUCAUUCUUAUCAUUUUAAGCGCUCCACCAAGAUGUAUGUGACAUGAAAGAGUAACCCGUGACUCUAACUCUUUGUGCAUUUGCAGUCCAAAGCAAAUUUUAAAUAUGCACAAAUUUAGGGGGAGCUCUUACUUAUCACAUACUUCUCAAAGCGACGAUAUAUUCCAUACUUAUUAUCAUUUGUCGAAGCUUUGAUCUAUAUGUUGUCAUCAAUUACCAAAAAGGGGGAGAUUGAAAGUGCAACUAUCCCUAGGUGGUUUUGGUAAUUCAUAACAACAUAUAGCUCAUUGAGCUAAUGCUAUUCCAAGAUGAUUAUUUCAGGAAAGCUCAAUGAUUGGCAUGGCAUGGAUGGUGAAAGUGGAACCCUCAAAAUGCUAAGGACAAAGGAUUGGCUCAAGCUCAAAAGCUCAAGACUCUUCAUUUUAUAUUUUAGUGAUCCAAGAUCACAUUGAGUCUUUAGGAAAAGCCAAUACUAUCAAGGAGGGAUGAGGUGUUGCUUAAUGAGCCUCUUGCUUCAUGUGCUUAGUGAUAUGCUCCAAAACCCUCAACUACUUUCCCAUAUCCACAUAUGACCUAAACCCUAAGCCAAACUCGGUCCUACCGAUUCUUCCCAUCCGGCGCCACCGAGUUUCACUUGUCAUAAGCCACUGCCAAACCCUAGCAAUUCGGUUCUACCGAUAGGGAUCUCGGUCUCACCGAGAUGGGAUUGCAAACUCUCUGUUUCCCUUUUGUAACUUUUCGGUCUCACUGAAAGAGCGGACGGUCCCACCGAGAUUGCAAUGUAAUUCAGUGUUUCCUUUUUGUAACUUUUCAGUCUCACCGAAAGAGCAAAUCGGUCCCACCGAGUUUGCCUGACCAACUCUCUGGUUAGCUAAUUACCAAAUUCGGUCUCACCGAGUUUGUGUAAUCGGUCUCACUGAGAUUACGUUAUGCCCAAACCCUAACCAUAUCGGUCCUACCGAGUUGCAUGUCAGUCCCACCGAAAAUCUCUAACGGUCACUAGGUUUACAUUUUCGGUCCGACCGAGUUUGUUGAUUCGGUCCCACCGAGAUUGGAAAACUGUGUGUAACGGUUGGAUUUUGUGUGGAGGCUAUAUAUACCCCUCCACCUCCUCUUCAUUCGUGGAGAGAGCCAUCAGAACACAUACACAAUUCCAACUCAUAUGUUCUGAGAGAAAACCACCUACUCAUGUGUUGAGACCAAGAUAUUCCAUUCCUACCAUAUGAAUCUUGAUCUCUAGCCUUCCCCAAGUUGCUUUCCACUCAAAUCUUCUUUCCACAAAAUGCAAAUCCUAUGAGAGAGAGUUGAGUGUUGGGUAUACUAUCAUUUGAAGCACAAGAGCAAGGAGUUCAUUACCUACACACCAUUUGUUACUUCUUGGAGAGUGGUGUCUCCUAGAUUGGCUAGGUGUCACUUGGGAGCCUCCGACAAGAUUGUGGAGUUGAACCAAGGAGUUUGUAAGGGCAAGGAGAUCGCCUACUUCGUGAAGAUCUACCGCUAGUGAGGCAAGUCCUUUGUGGGCGAUGGCCAUGGUGGGAUAGACAAGGUUGCUUCUUCGUGGACACUUUGUGGGUGGUUGCUUCUUCGUGGACCCUUCGUGGGUGGAGCCCUUCGUGGACUCGCGCAACCAUUACCCUUUAUGGGUGGAGCCCUCCGUGGACUCGCGCAACCGUUACCCUUUGUGGGUUGAAGUCUCCAUCAACGUGGAUGUAGGAUAGCACCACCUAUCUGAACCACGGGAAAAACAUCCGUGUCUCCAAUUGCGUUUGAAUUCUCCAAACCCUUCCCUUUACAUUCUUGCAAGUUGCAUGCUUUACUUUCCGCUGCCAAUAUACUCUUUGCAUGCUUGCUUGAAUUGUGUGAUGAUUGCUUGACUUGUCCUACAAUAGCUAAAAUCUGCCAAGAACUAAAAUUGGGAAAAGGUUAAGUUUUUAUUUGGUCAAGUAGUCUAAUCACCCCCCCUCUAGACAUACUUUCGAUCCUACAGUUUGCACAUCCAAGUAUCGUGUGAGAACUGAAUUGCGGUGCAUAAAAAUGAGCUAUGGAACACAGUGUAGAAUGUUAGUCAUUACCUCAGGAAAAACAGAGACGCCACUGAGGAAGCAAAGUGAAGGAAUGAUGACAUAGUUAUCAUAUUAUUUAAAAUUGAAAAUCAAUUACCAUGUACUUCAUCUAAUAGUCAGACUCUGACUAAACUACCAUUUUACCUGGACUACUGAAGGGUGAUCUCCAGAAGUUAUCGUCUCAUUCCAUUCAGAGAAGCCUCUGCAAUUGCAUUCUGGAAUCUCAGGAAUCUUGGCUGAAUGUACUACUGAGUUCACGUGGUUUGUCAGAUCCUUGUACAACUCCUGCAAUUCAGAAAAGAGGGGAAAACUAAUAAGAAAAUAAUGUGUUGGCUUACACAGCCUUACACAGCACAGAUGGAAGGCCAGCAGGCCCUUACACCACUAAAUAUUGUAUCAGAUUAUAGCGCGACAUUAUUUGUUUUGAGAUAAGCUACAUUCCAUCAGGAUAAAUGCAGAACAGUUUGUGCUCUACCCUCAUGCGGAGCAGUUCUUGAGGGCUACAAGCAUCAUCAGCCUUGGUCAAGGCCAUGACCUCACCUUCAACUCCCAAAUCCCACACUAGCACCCAAAGGGGACUCCAAACCAUUCCUCGGCCAUCACGACAAACUCGAUCUGCUCUGCACGUGACGGCCUAAUAACCAAUUGCAUCUACCAUUCACAUAAGAGACAUUUAACAACUCUUUUUCAUAACCUCCAAUCAUAGAACCAAUUCACAUCCAUCAUCAUCAAGUUGAAACAGGAAUUACAUGUGCAUCUCAUAAACACACUUGCUAAAGUUCUAGAGACCAGACUAAACAAGGACAGCUAAUUUUCGCUUCAAUUAUUCAGUCUCAGAAUCUACAAUUCACCAUGCCUAUACACAAUGACGCCACCCACAGCACACUAACCAAAAAAAUUAAAAUUCAUCAACACCUAUACAUACACUUACCUAAUUUCGCACUGCAGAUCACUCAAUCAGCAACUAUAACAGCCGCCGCCGCUACCCUGCUUCUCUUCCUCUCCUUUUCUCCAGGAGUCCAACCCCACUUCUUUCUUUGCUCCGCCGUCCGUGCCCGUCCCAUCAUCAUCUCCCUUCCCGAGCUCCACCUAAGGAACGCCAGGUGCCUCUUGGCAGGAGAGGGGUGAUGAAAAAUCUCCGCACUCUCUCGAUCUCACGGGGCAAUGGGCUCCUGUUCGCGCCGCCAUGUUGUCGGCAUGGAUGCCCGGGCUCGCACAGCCGCGGCGGCCUCGGUUCUUUCCUUUCCUCUUAGGCUCCAACACCACGCCCUUCCCUCCUACUCCGCCACCACUGUUUUCUCGCCCAAAUCCACUGCCUGCCGCCGUCCGUCUCAUUCAGAGCUUGGUCAACACACUGCUGAGCUCUUUUUCCACAACAAUAUAACCCUCAUAAAAACUGGCCCACUCGGUCCUUCCAGCUGAGGUCCAAAAAUACCAUCCUCCUGGCCCAUGCCAAAUGCUCAGCCCAACUGUGUUUUCAUAGCCAAAGCCCAAAACUGGCUCUACCGAUUCCACACGCCCGCAACUGGGUAAAUACCCCAACUUACGUGUCCAUCUACCACACCCGUCCACAUUUCUCCACACUCUUGACCAUAGCCCUCUAGGGUUUCCUUCUGCCGCCAUGCGCGGCUGCGAGAGAUGCAUGUUGUACAAGAAGCACCUCGCGGAGGUGCACGGUUACACAAAGACCGCGACCUCGGCAACCACCUCGGCGAAACUCCGCCGCCACCAGAUCCGCAAGAAAAGAGCCCACCGGCGCCGCCAAAAUGCUCUGGCUGCGCCUGUCGCCCUCAAUGACGCCGUCAACCAUCAGGUCUAAUUCCGUUCGGCUCCUCGUACAGUAGAAACUAGAAAGCUCAAAACUUCUAUUUUUGUCGAUCGAUGGAUGUCGUCGUCGGUUCGAGUGCUUGUAUACAGGACAUGAUGUAUGUACCUUAAUAUUGUUCAACUUGCAGCCAGAUUGCUAAUUUACUCCAAAAUUAUCAAGCACGAAUAGAGGGAGGGCUCUCAAAUUUGUAUCGGUGACUUCUGGUUUGCUUGCUUGUUAAGUUUCUCCUUGUAUCACACGCAAAAAAAAAUUAGAAUAAGAAGACCCUCCUUGUAUGAUUAGGCGCUUCUUGACUUAAUUCAACGGCCCGUGUUUUCUCCGUCAUUCAAACAAACGCUAGAAUACUUGAAUCCCCAUUUAGCAUGCCACCUGAAUCCUCAAUCGUGUAAUCUAUACAAUGUUAAUAGUAGGCAUAUUUUAGCCUUCCAAAACUUGUCAACAAGUGUGUACUUUAACAUACAAUUUUUUUAACAGAAACAUACAAGUUGUUGUGAGACUAGCCUGGAUAGCAAGAGCAUGCUGACACUCGACCCAUGAUGAUCUCCAGGACGUGGCAUCGAUAGUUACUUUUUAUACCAAUGUAGUAGUACAAGAGCAUAUACAUUACCAAAUUAUAAAAUGUGCUUCGCACGAAAUAUCUCAUCAUUUCAGUUUGAUUAGCUAAACUUAAUAUUUUUUCUCAAUAUUCACUAAAGGUUCAGAUGCAAAGAUUAUAUUGUUUUCUUACAAGUAUGGCAAAAUUCCCUAGUUCAAUCGCUUGACUCGUAUGACUAGAUAAGUGUUUCCUCCUCCCCUGGCCGCCAUAGAAGACCCAUAACGUACCUCACUAGCUUGCACAAGUUUUAUAAGCAACACAACACUUUUAAGAUUCAUCGCUCCGCAACAAAACAUUUUUAAGAUUCAUCGCUCCCGCAUCCCGUUUUACUCCUCUUUCGUAGAUAGAUCACAUUUCAUAAUUCUAACUGUGUUUUAUGAUUUGAUGAAUAGACUCAAGAGAAUGAGAAUGAGCAGCAAGAGUACAUCAUUCACGGUGAGCACUAACCUAUUUCUUUAUUUUCAAUAUGUUAAACAUCAAGCUCACAGCUACAUAACAAAGCAUGUGUCUGUCUAUUUCUUUAUCAACCGCCUUCAUUUACUAACUACAUCUGUUAGAUUCAUAUUUAUAUCCUUUCCUACUGAUUGGUCUCACGAUAGUUCUGUCAUAAAGUUGUGAAUCACACUGCUCUAUUCUACUCUUGCUCGCUCAAUGUUUGUUUUCUUUUGUAGUCAUUAGCUUCACCAUGUCACACAAUGCUAAUCUGAAUUUGAUGCUUUCUCUAUUUUACAAACUGCUUUCACCAUAUGCUAUAUUUUACAACUUCACUUCUCUUAUUUUAAAAAUUAAUCUUUAGUUUCAUUAUAUGACAUCAUGUCUAAAAGCCUGUUUGGAUGGCUGCCAAAGACUACCCUUCCAAAAUUCUCACCAUUCACCACGGCGUGGCCAGAUUAAGCAGUGCUAAGGUAUAUAUAAUGCUUUUGUGUCCCAUCUUCCAGUGUAUUGAUGGGAGUUUGGGUAACCGAUCGACCGAUGUUGGCCUCAAGGUCAAGGCUGUAAUACUUCCUGGAGUUGUGCCCAUAAGGAGGAUUUAUAUUUAUAUAUGAUAAUCAUAGGAACAAUCAGACUGCAUUUGUGUUUUUCUUCUUCUUCUGUUCAUGCUAUCCUUGGUGUUCAUAUGUAUUAUUAUGCUUCUCAAUUGGAAGCUUUUUUCUCCUCUUCCUGUGAAAAAACAAAGAGUGAGGCUAUGUCAUUCCAUAGCAUAUAUAUAAUUUACAUUUCCACUACCAGUAAACCAUGUUGUUGUCAAUCUCUAAUGUGUAGAGUUGACAGAGAAGAUUCAGUGUUGUGAUGGUGACACUUUCCUUGAAUAAUGUUGGAACUGCAUGGUCCUACUCCUUCUGGUGAAAGCAUUUUUAGGACCUUCAAUGAGUUCUUCACUUUUUUUCUGUUACCAAUGCUGAGAUUGAGUGGGUUUAACUGAUAUUUGAAAAAUGAUCUUGAUAUAGUGAGUUUAACUGGUAUUUGAAAAGUUCGAAGGGUUUACGGCUUCAUGCACAACAUGCAUUUUAUUGCUGUGGUACAACCUGGGCUCAAAACAUCAUUUUCUGUCUAAUGAUUCAGUUAAACCUCUUUUUUUAGUCUACUCUCUUAACCUCAUUUCUUUAAACUCUCUUUUGGAAUAGUUUUGAACUAAUGAUUCAAGAAAAUUUCAAAACCUAUUGCACUUGUUCAGUCCAUAGAUCAAACUUCACAAAACAUAGACCUGAGACUAAUCAACUCAUAAGUUGCACGCUAUCCUGCCUCCCCUCCCCUCGAUACGGCUCGCCACACGGCCUAAUCGCCGGCCCUAACGCAGAAGGAUUCCACCCACGAUUUUCUUUUCUGUAAAACGUUUGGCACCUGUGUUUUAUAAUUCCAGUGCCCAGCGGGUUCAAUUUAAGGUACUCUUUAGAUCUAAAGUUUGUACUGGAGUUGCUGUUGGUUCAUUCAUAUUCGUUCAGUACUGCCUCUGAAUUUUGGUUCUGCAAGUCUUUAGACCUCUUAUCUUUGCUAUGACUAGAUUAUAGGAGAAUUUUCUGAAACAACAGAUAGCAAGGGUGUAUAUCUGAUCGAGCAAGUUGCAGGAUGAUGCUGAGAGUUUUCAAACACCAUUAGGUUAUUAGCAAUCCUUUGUCAAUAUUUGCCAUCGUUGGAUAUUGACACAAAUUCAGGAAUGUAUGUUGUCAAAAGAUUUUAAACCCUUGGUCUUUGGGUUGUGAUCAUAUUAUCCUUUGUUAUCCGACUGGAGCUAUUGUUGAAUAUUAUUGAUGAGUGUUUUGCUAUUUUGGAUUGUCUUCCAAUAUUUGUUGUUUGAGCUGUUGUGCUUGUCAGUGGAAUAAUAUCUAGAAUUAUGCUGAUUGGGGCUGCAUCCAGAGAACUGUAUUCUAAAAGUCUAAACACCUGGAAAUUAGUAUUGAUGGAGACCAUUUAAUAUUUAAUAUCUCCGUAGGGAGGUUGCUCUGAGGAGAACAAAAUGGAGUUGCAUCGACGUUUUCCGGACAAAAUAUCAUGGCGGGGCUAGGUAAGUUACAACACAUGUAGUAUGUAAGUUACCAUGAUGUUUACACUGAAGUUACGAGGAGCAUAGAAAAUGUUUGCCUCACCCUUCUCCCCAUACGCACUAGAGGGGGGAAAUCUGAUGGCAUCCUAGAUUAUCCCAUUUCAAAAAUUCAAAAUGUUUUAUAGCUUAAACCGUUGUCAUGAUUCAAGAAUCCCUUUUCACCAUCAAAUCCACCAUGACAAGAUGUUCAAAACUUGAUCUCAUGUUGGUAUAUUUCAAUAAUUUUUUGGUCAAAAGUAACCAGGCCCUAUGGUAUGUAAGUUACCAUGCUUUUUACACAUAAGUUAUCGGGGUAUGUUUGAACAACUUUUUUCCCGAGUCAAAGUUACAUGGUGUUGUACGUAGUUUAUCAUGUCUGCAGUGCGUAAAUUACCAAAUUANNNNNNNNNNNNNNNNNNNNNNNNNNNNNNNNNNNNNNNNNNNNNNNNNNNNNNNNNNNNNNNNNNNNNNNNNNNNNNNNNNNNNNNNNNNNNNNNNNNNNNNNNNNNNNNNNNNNNNNNNNNNNNNNNNNNNNNNNNNNNNNNNNNNNNNNNNNNNNNNNNNNNNNNNNNNNNNNNNNNNNNNNNNNNNNNNNNNNNNNNNNNNNNNNNNNNNNNNNNNNNNNNNNNNNNNNNNNNNNNNNNNNNNNNNNNNNNNNNNNNNNNNNNNNNNNNNNNNNNNNNNNNNNNNNNNNNNNNNNNNNNNNNNNNNNNNNNNNNNNNNNNNNNNNNNNNNNNNNNNNNNNNNNNNNNNNNNNNNNNNNNNNNNNNNNNNNNNNNNGGUCAAAAGCAUGGUUCUGGUAAUGCAUGUGCAUGCUUUUCAUGGUUCAUGCACACAACUAGCACGUUUCCUUCAGGGAUGUGCAAAGCACUUGAACCGCCUCCAGGCUGCAAUUUGUAUUGAUGCACUAAUAAGAAGAGACAAAAUGAUCAAAUGCUGCUACUUUUUUUGAACUUGACAAGAACCAAGUACGGAGUAGUUGGUAAAUGGAUGAAGGUCUUAAGGUUGUAGUCUUUAGUUCAACUUCUGGCUUUGACAUCAGUUUUUGUCCUACAAAACUAAAAUGGCGUACUCUGGAGCCACCCCUCGUGUAUGGAAAUUGCACCGUGAGGGAAAAAUUGGGUCAAUGUCCACUCACCCAUGUUGGCCACCAUUAAAAGCGCUAAUCCCACAAAAUAUCGAUCAAAUUAAAUAACGUGAGAAGAAAAGAAAUCUGGUCGACGCCCACCUGUGAUCGCCAUUAAUCUUCUGUCUUUAUUAAAAAAAGAGGUAUCAAUACACACAUAAGUGACCAUUUUCUUAUUAACUUUUUUUCGUAUUCCUUCAUUUCCAUAAUAAAAAAAUCCUUGCCCCCAACCAGAUAUAGUACGGACUUUAAAAAAAAUCAUGCUUCAAGGAAUAAUCAUGUGGUCGAGCUUCUAUGCGUUAGUAGCUGCAUAUUUGUGCAUCUCCUUUUGUUUCAGCAUAUCAUAUUAUAUAGCUGCAAACACGCUGGCUUUGGCUAUAUUUCUAAUUUACUAAAUACGAAAUGUAAAUUGUAUUUCAAACAUUCAUGUCAACAUGGAAAGACUAUUGCAAAAGCAUGAGUUGUUGUAGACAAUAACUGGUAUCCAACAAUUAAUGAUGAUACUCUGGGUAAGUAAUUCCUGCUACCAGGACUCCUGGAGAUAAUCAUAAAAGGAUCAAAUUGAAAGCAAUAAAUGUUUUUUUGUAAAAUAUAUUUAAUAAUAAUUGAAGGAAAAAUAAAUCAUCAUUUAUAAGAAUUACUUAGAACUGUUACUUUGGUAUUCUAAACAAUAUUUCAAUUUUCUGAACAGAUUUGAAAAAGAAUAAUAAAACGUUCAUAAAGGAUAAAAACGAAUUAACAAAAAAAGGGAGGAAAAACGAAAAAUUAGAAAAGAAAAAAAUAUGCUUAGGCCUUGGCCUAACUAGGCGACGGCAUGGCUCCUGUCGGGCGCAACUGGGCCGGCCUAAGUGCUCGCUAAUCUGAAAAAGUUUAUCAAUUGUUUUAAAAAAUGUUCACAGAUUUCAACUGUUUUCAAAAACAAAUUCACUAAAAAUAAUUGAAAAAAGUAGCAUCACAUUUUUGGGAACCUCAGGUUUGCAGCCGAUUUUUUUUGUAUCCAGCGGAUAUCCAGCGGAUAUUGGGAACCUCAAUCGGAUAUCCAGCGGAUAUGGUAUCCCUGGUAUCCCGCAGAUGUGGAUUAUCCGCUAUUUUCUGUAGAUUAUCCGAGGAAAGAAAUCAGAUUAUAUCCGAUAAAAUAAGUCCAAACGGCUGUCCAUAUGUAUGCCCAUUUAGGUUAGUGAUUGUAGAUUUACAAUCAUCCCAUGUACUCUACCAUAAUCUCGUACGCAAUCAAAGCAUGCAAAAUUGGUAGUAUAGCGGCGAUAGCGCAUACAUAUCCUUCUAUCAAUCGCCAUAUUGCAUUGUUGCUUCUCCCCGGCCGCUGGUUGCAUGUCUGAUCUCUCGGAUAGUCUGGCAGUUCAAUCUCGAUGGUCAAAGAUGCCCGUGGCCAAUCAGUAGGUCCCAACAACAGAGGUAAGUGAAUUUGUAGAUGCACAGAGUCCUGCACAAGUUUAGAGCACCGAUGAUCUGUGGUCAUGUCCGGCUGUCAGUGGACGCCAUGAGCUGUCUGCACGCCCGCACCAGGACACCAGGCACGCCAUGUCACGCCCCAAAACACGGCUCGGACGUAACAGCCACCACGCGUUUAUAAACAAAAGGUUAUAAACGUGUGAGGCCUAAACUAAGACAUUUCACCAUAAUACACACACACACACACACACACACACACACACACACACACACACACACACACACACACAUAUAUAUAUAUAUAUAUAGUGUUAUUAUUCAUCACCCAGGGUGCAGAAUAAGUUAUUCUUCACCCGAGGUAAUUUUACGAUCAUUUCAUAAAUACAAAUUACAUUUGAAAUACAAAUAGUUACAUUCAUAUUGAUUUACUGCAUAAAAUUUGGCAUACAAAAAAAUAUAGGUCAAAAAAUGUAUUUUAUGUACAUUUUACACUAUGUUUUUACAUUUGUAAUUUUACGUAACAUAACAUAUUUUUUAUGACAUUACAGGUUUUCUUAUGUUCUCUUUUUAUGUCUAAAAUAAGACAAAAUUUAUGAAACGUAAAAUUACGGUUCAUAGAUAUCAAAAUAGAGGUGGGUGAAGAAUAACUAUUCCUCACCCAGGGUGACGAAUAGUCAAUCCCUAUAUAUAUUUCUGGGGAUACAUAUAGCUCUUGCUGAAAAUAAACUUCUAAAGUACUUUAAUUUAUUCCCUUCCGGCGCAUGCUACGCCUACUGCUCAAAGCCAUGCUCAAUACCGCUUUGGGCUGAAAAUAGAAAUUAAGCAAGGGUGAGUAUGAUGAUUCAUAUCCAGCAAGUAGCAUUUAUCCAAGAGUACAGAAGGAGAAAGUGUUAUGGAUAUCACAACGGUGUAAUUCAAUUUCAAGAAAAUGAUAUGGCAACAAUGGAAAGAUUUAGCGGCGAAAAAUAAAGUAGUACAAAAUGCUGAAUUAAAAGAUAAUAUCGAACAGAGUUCGACCGAAAUACUGGAAAUAUUUACGGCGGUGUAUAAGGAAAAUAUUCGCAUCACACGUGACCAGCAAGCUUUCCAACCCGGGGUCACAGGGGUGAAAUUUCACACUUUUACACUCUUAAAAGGGGUACUCUAACAUCGACAGUCUCGACCAAAACCACCUGGGUUCCAUAAGAGCAGAGUCCUUUGGUCCCCUGAGGUGCAACAACUUGACUUACUAGUAUGGGUCGUUCCCAAGGAUCCAUCACCGAUACCCUGUUCGGAACAAGUGUCGCCCCCAGCGGAGAACUUAGAUAGUCCCAUACCUGAAUUGUGAUCGGUAUAAUACGUUUGCGGUCGUGACACCAAUAUAAACAUUAUGUGAAUAUGGAAAUAAGAAGGUUAGUGAUAUUAUGAAGCUUAUGUGAUAAUCCUCAUGUCUCCGCGUAAGCCCAAAUAAUCACGACGAUUACUUGCUUACCGGAACAUAUUUCUUUUCAACAGCACCGUGACCAAUGAACAAAGAGCAAUUGCAGAAGAACUCAUAUACACGGUAUAGUGGCUAGCAAAAGAAAUACUAGCAGCAGUAUAUCUCUAGAUCAGUGUAACAUAGUGCAAGUCGCAGGACCAAGCACAGCAACGGAAUUAUACAUAUACUAAAUCUGACCAGGUUUCUUUUACCCUGUUUUUUAACUUUUUCUUAUCAGUAGAAAUCACACCAAUGGGUGUGCGACAUGUGUUUUAGUAGGGGAUUUGGCUGUGUGCCGUCCGUGUUCAUGUAGCGAUUCUGGGUGGGUCCCUGGUUCUAGCAUGCAAUUGGCUUGCAUGUGCAUGCACGAUGCGCAGUUUCCAUUGGGCUGCAUGUGUUGUGUGCAUGUUCCUCCGUCUUUUUCCAACGGUUUUGUCUCUUUCCGUUUGUCCUUGAUUGCAUGUACCGAAUCCCAUGCUGUCGUGGCCAACUUUUACACCGUCUGUUGUUUCAAAAUUGGAUUUUUCUUCGCGGCGCGUGUGUCUUUGGUUCUGUUUGGAUCGUGGGGUUAAAGCUAGUUUGGGUUAGUUGGGGGCUCAAAUAACCCAAAAGUAUUCAAACAGGGAGGGUUAGAGUGGAUCCAACUAUUCCGAUGGAGAGGUGCUUAUUUGGGUUAGAGUAGGUUAUAAAAUAACUCUAACUCUAACUGUGUUAGAGUAUUCAAACAGGGCCUUUGUGCAAUCGGCUGCCGCUUCGGUCGUGCUUUCUAGGCCUGGUACUCCGUCGGCUGCCGCCUUUCUUUAUUCUUCUGGUCGUUUCUUCCUCACAUGCAGUGGCUGUCUUCGAUUCGUCGUCGCCUACUAUAAAUAUGGGCCUUCCCAUUGAGCUUCCUCUCAUUCUGGUUUCAGCCAGGUGCGCGUUCCUUCCUGCAUUUAGUGGCAGGAUUUAUAGAGGCAGCGAUGGUUACUCCUCCUGUUGUUCGGUCUGGUCGGGGCCGGCGGGGCGUCCUCCAGGGAUCCGGGCGGCUGUUAUCGCCCGUGUGCGUAAUGGCUGCGGUCGUUUCCCUCCCGCGGAUCAUCCCACAGUAAUGGAAGAGGUUGUUGUCCGUGAUGAAUUGCCUGUUGUUCAUUUAAGGUGUCGUUGCCGCCGUGCGGUUCGCCGGCCGUUGCGUUUUGGACGGAUUGGUAAGUUCAUUCAGCCUACUCGAGUAUUUGCAAGCUUAUUUAGUAUGUUUACGUAUUGGUUUACUCGGAGUGUGGUCGCUUCAUUUGGUUGCUUUUUUUUGUACAUGGUCAACGUUUGGUUCCCCAUCGGCGGUCUUGAUCGCCGCCGUCAAGAGAUUUCUUUAGGGAAGUGGCCUGUUGAGUCUGUUGACUCUACUUAAGGCAAGUGCGUUGGCUUCUUGUUAUGCAUGCGACUGUCUCUGUCUGCUUGCGUACGUUUCUUUUUCUGCCUUGCUUACUACACUCGCUUAUUACUUCUCUUCCUUUUUGUCAAGGCUACACUCUUACUGCUGAUUGUUCUUGUGCAUUUGAUGGUCUGAUGCCUGCUGCUCCGCUCGCCGGCGUGGGAUCUGGUGAGUUUCUGCUUCUUCUCUGUGUAUUAUGUUGGUUGUGCUGGCUGUUGUAAGAUGGGCAUAAUUUUUUUUUGUUGACGUUGGGACGGUUGGUGAUGAUUUUUUCCUUUCUAUAAGCUGCUUGUGUGGGUCUUUGUGUGUGGUCCAUGCGACAUGUUUUUUUUUGGUUCAUUUGCUUAGCUACAUGGAUUUCGGCCUGUUUUUAAUGCAGUUCGUCCAAUGUUUUGUUGCAGCUUCCUCGGUGGCCCAGACGACUCAUGGGUUUAUCCUUUUUCUCUUCCUGCUGAUGUUCACCUUGAUCAUCGCUUGGUGGGUGCUCCGUCUGUUGUUAAUCGUUCCAAGGGUGUGCCUUUGCGUGUGGCCGGUGCUUUCGGUCGGCCUACUCCUCUUGAUGAGUUUAGGUUCUGAAACAUGCAUCUGCCACUGCCUUUUUUCUUUUCUUUUUUUGUUUGUGUUGGAUAUGGUUCUAAUUUGUAUAUGUGGCUGUUUUUUGAGUGAUGCCUACUCCUGUCAUGCAAUACUUUCGUAAGCGGGCGCUGAUGCGGAUUUGCAUGCGAGGAUCUCCUUUGCAUGCCUUUUUUUUGCUUACGAUCCAGCGCGCCUUUUGUGUGUCCUUGUUUUAGAGGGGGUUUAUUUUGAGUAGUUUGGAUUGCUUAUCAUAUAUAUGUCACAUGGUGUUGUUUUAAAGGGUUUCAUAUAUAUAUUUUUAAUGCUGACUUGCAUGGCGGUUAGACGGUGUUGGUCUUCAUGACGCUUCUGGGCGCCGCUUUGCAGAUCGAUGCUUCUGAUCGCCACUUUGCAUGAUACUUCUGGUAGGGUUUGCCAUCUCCGAUUCGCUUCGCCUCACGAAGCGGUGUUCUUCUUUCUUGGUGGGUAGGUCAUGGUGGUUCUUGCCGAAGUGGUGCCUGCCGCCGGGGCCGUCCAUACCUCGCCGGAGCCCCAACUGCCAGGAUGCAAUUCAUCUCUCAGCGCCGGUACAAUCUCCCCUAUGCGGUCGAGUUGGCGGCGCACGCAUGAGAUAUCAUCGACUACCGGUGGGAGCCAUCACCGACGACUUGCAGAAGGUGCAUGCGGAGGGCCUGAUAUGGUGGGGUUCAGUGCAACAAUCUGGCCAAUGCUGCUAUCCUUAGCCGUUGGUCGCUGACUCUGCCGCAAACCCCUACGCCACCACAAACAUGCCCAUGGCCGUCCUCGUUGGUGACGACUUCUCGCGGUUUGGGCAGGGCAGCGGAGGCUACGAUCGGAGGGUUAGAGGUGGCGGUGGCGGUGGCGGUUGAGAGGCUAAAUCCAGGUUAAUGUCACGUCGCUCAAUCCAUCUAUUUUUUCUGCGCUAGUGGCUUCCGCUCUGGUGGUAGAGGAAGCAGGAAAGAGAGGGAUGGUUUGGGCCGGGCAUGCCUUAUAAUGUAUCUGUGCAGAUUAUAAUAUUUCCAUCAAUGACCAUAAUUACUAUGCUCUUGAAGUUACAAAGGAAAGACUGUUCACAGCCAGAGAAAAUGCACAAGCAAAGCAAUGGCGAUUCAAUAUGGCCCGUCAGCAAGUAGCUACACAGCAAAACAAGUUUACAAGACAAACAAUGAUUCUAGCAGCAAUGUGCAAUAAUUUUUUUGAUAUAUUGCCACUCCGUAUGUACCUUCAGCGCCCAGACAGCGAUGAUCCUAUCAUCACGUACACAUGCGCGCAUCUUUCUAUUGGACGUCUGUAAGAAUUUGCAAAAGCUCUGUACCACUUCAUCACCGGCGCCAAUCCUACAGGAGGAUACACCAGGAUGAUCUAAUCCAUCACAGACUGCUUCUAGCUUACUUAUAUGGCGUGGUUGUGUGGCUUACUUCUACAUCGUGGUUGUGUGGCUUACUUCUACAGCGUGGUUGUGUCUCUAUAUACAGUUUACCACAUAGAGUGGACUGCAUAUAGUUUGAAUAAUUAGUUUAUCUUAGAAGCGUGCCACUUCUAAAUAGUCUGUUUGUAUCCACACAUUUGCAAGAUUUUAAUAAAUUCACAUCUUCAGUGUCUUCAAUAGCUCUAUAUAUCCGUCUGACUUUCUUGAAUUAAAAAGUAAAUGAGUAUGCAUUGAUUUAUUCUUAAAUCAAUAGACUACAUAUAUUCGUAAGUAAUCACCAAGCGCGGCGUGCCGCCGCGCGGGUUAGGCUAGUACUCCUCUACCACCAGAGCGGAAGCCACUAGCGCUUAGAAGACUGAUAUUAAGAAAUACUAGCAUCAUGGCCAUAACAAAUACUAGCAUGUCAGAGCUCUUAGAAGACUGAUAUUAAGAAAAAAUUAAUUCUAAUGCAUUUUAAUUAUUCUUAAGUAACACACGGGUAUUACACGCCAGCAUCGUAGAGCGUCAAUGGUCGUGGUUGACUCUUCUUAUGGCCAUGAUCGGCUGCCCAGACACGACGAUGGGCAGCGUCCGCCCGUGCGGCGCACGCACGUCGGGACGGCGGUCUGCCAUGGAUCCAACGUGGGUUUGCAUCCAAUACCAACCUCCAAAUUUCCCCAAUCAUCAGAAAAAAAAAAUCCCACCUAGCUUUCUAAGUCUCUUGACUCUAAAAAGAUACCAGCUAGGUUUCAAAUUCUUUUGACUCGGAAAAGAAAUCCUACCUAGUUCUUCCAUUCCUUCCCGAUAUUUUCUUAUAUCUGUACUCUAUAUUCGUAUAUAAUACUUACCUAAUAUUCUGAGCUCACAAAGUCUGAAAAACUGUGUUAUUUAUUUGUACUUGAUUAUCUUUGCUUGGCAUUUUAAACGUCGGCCACUCCUAUGUUUGGUGUCACGUUCUGCCUCUGGAUGCAUUUGCCAUCAUGCACAUAUAGCUGUCGUUUGUCUAGCACUGCUCUUUUGUUUGAAACCGCUAUGCAUCCGGGUUUUUAAUCUCGACUGAGAUUUUCAGAAACCGGUAGAAAACAGGCCUUUCCAUUACCCAGCAAAAAAUUCGAAUACCUUCAAUUUUUUUAAAUUUAAACAUUUAACUGAUGUCAAAUAGCGAUCAUAUGCCUUGGCAAACAAAAAGACAACCUUUAGCAUUGUCGUAAGGCGGUUGCUGUAGCUCCACGGAGUCGCAUGAUCGAAUCGCCAUUUUUGUCAACUGGUCUUUUAAAGUGUUUUUGAGUUUAGAACAAAAAUUCCAGCACCAAGCAGGAGGGGUGGUUAGAACCCACAAGCUUCCGAUGAAAGGAAAUACGGGCUGACCAUUUGAACAGGAACAACGUUGUGUAAGGAAAGGCUUAAAAUAUUAUGUUUUGAAGCAAAAGAAAUUUGAAUUCAACAUUCAUUUGAAAAUUUCGGGCCAAAGAAAUCCAAAAAUUCCAUCUAACAUGGCCGUGGUAGGAAUGAAAAGAUCCAACAAAGAUGUGGGUUGGUAUGGGGAGCCCUUGUGAUGAGGAGUGGCCUUGUUCUAUGUUUCAAUGACGACCUCCAUUGGCAAUUUUUUGGACUCGCCUUGGCUCGAUGGAAACAAGGCUAAAGUCGAUAUUCCACCUUUCAUCUUUGCGCUCCGCCCGCGAGGAAAAAACUAGAAGGUGAGGGGGCCAUGGAGGAUGAUGAUGCAUGAAUCCGCAAGCUCAAAUGCGACUCCCCAAUGAUUGGUGGCCCAUCAAGGAGACCGCUCUUUGGACCACCAUGGAGCACUUGAAGAAAAUCACGACACCAGAGUAACUAUUUUGUAAACCAUGCAUAAAAGGCUCGACUCUAGAUCUACAUGAAACUGACUCACGGAAGAACAAGGGCGGACUGUAUGAAAUAAUCUUCCACUCUCAAAGUUAUCUCAAAAACAGAUACCCAAAGUUCAACAGCGGAAAGAGUAACCACCAACCAAGCAGUUAACUACUCCUACAUGAAUUACUACAAUUCCACAUGACAUCCCACUUGGAUAUGAUCAAGCAUUUGAUUCACCAUCUCAAAGAAAACAUAAAAAACAUCUGACUGGAGUACUGGACACCACCAUAUUCAGGCAAAAGAAGUUCUAUUCUCCACAUGGUUGGAAAGGUAAGCGACGCCUUUUCAUAGACCUUACUUUUAAGACUAUCCUGUUGAUAUCUCCAAUCUCCGACAUGAGGCUUCGCAUCACCAAAAUGUAGCUCAGAAAUGCGCUAGCAACCUACCAUCCAGCAGCACUAACACAGCGUUUUCCUAUUGGAUCAGCAACAGCCACACGGCCCUGCGCAGGAAUUCAAACGCCGAAACAAAAGGGUCUUUAACCGAAACAACAGUGUUUUCCUAUGAGAUCUUGAGAGACAUAUAUAUCCAGGAACCAAAACGCUGAAACCAACUGGAAAAACGACGUGUCCACAACCUUCAACGUUCAUAGCC